rnacentral:rRNA from 1 species
AGCAGUCGCCGCGGUAAGACAGAGGAUGCAAGCGUUAUCCGGAAUGAUUGGGCGUAAAGCGUGCGUAGGUGGUUGUUUAAGUCUGUUGUGAAAGCCCUGGGCUCAACCUGGGAAUUGCAGUGGAUACUGGGCAACUAGAGUGUGGUAGAGGGUAGUGGAAUUCCCGGUGUAGCAGUGAAAUGCGUAGAGAUCGGGAGGAACAUCCAUGGCGAAGGCAGCUACCUGGACCAACACUGACACUGAGGCACGAAAGCGUGGGGAGCAAACAGGAUUAGAUACCCCCGUAGUCCCUGUCUCUUAUAC